GCGCAAUUAGCUAAGUGGUAGAGCGUCAUACUUGAAACAGGAAGGCCCUCGGUUCGAUUCCUGACUUAAACU